UGGGGAAUUUUGGACAAUGGGCGAAAGCCUGAUCCAGCAAUGCCGCGUGUGUGAAGAAGGCCUUCAGGUUGUAAAGCACUUUUGUCCGGAAAGAAAUGGCUCUGGUUAAUACCUGGGGUCGAUGACGGUACCGGAAGAAUAAGGACCGGCUAACUACGUGCCAGCAGCCGCGGUAAUACGUAGGGUCCAAGCGUUAAUCGGAAUUACUGGGCGUAAAGCGUGCGCAGGCGGUUGUGCAAGACCGAUGUGAAAUCCCCGAGCUUAACUUGGGAAUUGCAUUGGUGACUGCACGGCUAGAGUGUGUCAGAGGGGGGUAGAAUUCCACGUGUAGCAGUGAAAUGCGUAGAGAUGUGGAGGAAUACCGAUGGCGAAGGCAGCCCCCUGGGAUAACACUGACGCUCAUGCACGAAAGCGUGGGGAGCAAACAGGAUUAGAUACCCUGGUAGUCCACGCCCUAAACGAUGUCAACUAGUUGUUGGGGAUUCAUUUCCUUAGUAACGUAGCUAACGCGUGAAGUUGACCGCCUGGGGAGUACGGUCGCAAGAUUAAAAGCUCAAAGGAAUUGAC
rnacentral:rRNA from 1 species